rnacentral:rRNA from 1 species
AGCGAACGCUGGCGGCAGGCCUAACACAUGCAAGUCGAACGGACCCUUCGGGGUUAGUGGCGGACGGGUGAGUAACACGUGGGAACGUGCCUUUAGGUUCGGAAUAGCUCCUGGAAACGGGUGGUAAUGCCGAAUGUGCCCUUCGGGGGAAAGAUUUAUCGCCUUUAGAGCGGCCCGCGUCUGAUUAGCUAGUUGGUGAGGUAACGGCUCACCAAGGCGACGAUCAGUAGCUGGUCUGAGAGGAUGACCAGCCACACUGGGACUGAGACACGGCCCAGACUCCUACGGGAGGCAGCAGUGGGGGAUCUUGCGCAAUGGGCGAAAGGCUGACGCAGCCAUGCCGCGUGAAUGAUGAAGGUCUUAGGAUUGUAAAAUUCUUUCACCGGGGACGAUAAUGACGGUACCCGGAGAAGAAGCCCCGGCUAACUUCGUG